GCACGCGUGGCGUAGUGGUAGUGCGCUAGACUGGUAAACCGGAGGUUCCGGGUUCAAUUCUUCUGGGUGUGAA